GCUGAGGUAGGGCCAACGGCGAGCCGCUUGUCUUAGGAACAAGUGCUUGCGGGUUCGACUCCCGCCCUCAGUA
rnacentral:tRNA from 1 species